rnacentral:rRNA from 1 species
UGCUGCCUACGGGGCGCAGCAGUGGGGAAUAUUGCGCAAUGGGAGAAAGCAUGACGAAGCGACGCCGCGUGAGGGAUGAAGGUCUUCGGAUCGUAAACCUCUGUCAGCAGGGAAGAACGGUCACUGUGCUAAUCAGCAGUGAAUUGACGGUACCUGCAAAGGAAGCACCGGCUAACUCCGUGCCAGCAGCCGCGGUAAUACGGAGGGUGCGAGCGUUAAUCGGAAUUACUGGGCGUAAAGCGCUCGUAGGCGGUAUGUCAAGUCAAGGGUGAAAUCCCCGCGCUCAACGUGGGAACAGCCUUUGG